AUGACAUUCUUGGAUGCUUAAUCUUUAUGCUGAAUAACACAAAAGGAUGGAGAAAGAUGUUCACUAUGAAUCAAAAAUUCAAAACAGAGGACUUUUAUAUAUCAACAAAAACAAUUGCAGUACAUGCACAUAUACAUGUAUAAAAGUACACUGUCAGCAUGGUCAGAAGAGGAAUUUUACUGGAAGAUUAAAAUUUUGAUACCUAGAAUCAGCAAUGAAUAUGAAAAUGAAAAUGAGAUAUAUUCAUGUACAGAAUGGUAACCGAGGUGGUUCAAUUGUGUAUUAGCAGACAUUUUUGUUGAACUUAUGCAGGGUUGAAUAAAUGAAACUUAAGCUGACUAUGGGCUCAAUGUGUAGU